rnacentral:rRNA from 2 species
UACGUAGGGUGCGAGCGUUGUCCGGAAUUAUUGGGCGUAAAGGGCUCGUAGGCGGUCUGUUGCGUCGGGAGUGAAAACUCAGGGCUUAACCCUGAGCCUGCUUCCGAUACGGGCAGACUAGAGGUAUGCAGGGGAGAACGGAAUUCCUGGUGUAGCGGUGAAAUGCGCAGAUAUCAGGAGGAACACCGGUGGCGAAGGCGGUUCUCUGGGCAUUACCUGACGCUGAGGAGCGAAAGUGUGGGGAGCGAACAGG